rnacentral:tRNA from 2 species
UGUUUUAAUAGCUUAUUUAGAGCAUGAUGUUGAAGUUAUCAGGGAGGUUUCGAUCUUAGAAUAU